UUACACGCCUCGACUCUGCUGCCGCGGAGAGAGCGGCGCUGGACAAUGGGCCAUUUAUCACAACCGUCCUCUGUCAGCGCCCGAACACACGGCAUGUUCACACAAACACAUACACACACGCACACACACACGCACGCACACGCAUGCACACACACACAUGCGCGCACACGCGCACACACACACACGCGCACACACACACACACACACACACACACACACGCGCACACACACACACACACACACACACACACACGUCUGCAUUAAAAGCUACAGGUUAAAAAGUAAAAUACUAUUUCCUCUUCUGAAGCGUUGGAGUGAUCGACUCUUUGACUCUUUGACUCCAGAGCGAGUGGUUCGACGCACACACGAACCUCGGCACACGCUGCUGACGGCGCAGAGCGUGAGGUUUACGUGUGUCUGUCUGCGGAGGAGCCAGACGGGCAGGAAGGGAGAGCGGAGCCAAAUAUGAAAAAAGGAUGAUCGCAGAGAAAGGAGGAGACGAGGGUGAGACGGGGGAGAGCGGGGGAGAGAGAGGGCACUCGGAGCGGAAAUGCUCCAGUGCCUGUGCGGCCUGCCACCUCGCAUCACACGGCAUCCGCUGACAGAUGAAUGCAGGAGAGCCCAAUAAUAGAAGCCGAGGACCAACGCGGCGGCGGCGGCGGCGGUGGCGGGGGAGGAGCUCCCGGUGCACGGCCAUGCGUGAGGACGGCGCGGGGGGAGACGGGGGUCAGCCGUCGCCACGGCGGCUCCCCCGUCUCAGCGGCUGCAGCCAACGCUGAGUUCCAGGCACAAACCCAGCAUCGCUCCCAUUUAUCUCCGCCAGACCGCUUAACUUUUGGGUUCCGCUAAGACCACUUCAAUACCGUUGCCAUGGAAACCUGUACCUUCGGCUUAGGCUUGUUAUGCAAGGUGGCUAAUUUUACCCAGUUACCCUGUUCCUUGGUUUUGUUUUUCCGCUUUGUUUCUAAAGGUGCUGAGGGUGAGACUGAGAGGAGGCCUGAUGUGAGCGCCGCCGCCGCCGCCGCCGCCGCCGCCGCCGCCGCCUUCAGAGGGAGACGACGUCCACGCGGACAGUCCUCUUCCACCACGACAAGCAUGACGUCUCCACAUCGGCACAGAAACCACCCCGGGUGAUGGACGGUACCGCCGCCGCCUUCACCCGGGCCGGGCCCUGCGUCGUUUUGGAUCCGUUUGCAGCGACGCGGGUGUGGGAGGACGCCAGCGGCUGCUCAGCCAGGUAUGAAAGCAGGCGGCCAGACAGACGGGGGCUCGGGGUCGGAGGCGGAUGUCGAAGCACAACCCGGCUCAGUGUGCGAUGAAUCAGAGGAUCACGACGGCGCGCUGCAUCAUCAGCCUGGAGCACCGGUGCAAAGACUCAUCAAUGUGUGGAGGGGAGGCGGGUUCACACACGGCGCUUCCAGGCUGUUUGUUAGACUGAACAAGCAGUCGGAGGCGUCGCCCUGUUGGUUUUAGGAGAAGGCGACGGGAUUUCUCCCAAUAAUGCACAGAAGUGAUUUGUGAAACCUGCUUUUAAAACCAGAGGUCGACUGUUUUGCUCGGGGUCCGUCUGCGUGAACCAGUCGAGCUGGAGCUUCCACUCACUGACGACAGACGACUUCACAUUUUCCUUCAGGAGUUUUUAAGGCGCGGAGACAAAUUCACGUUUCCCUUAAUUACAGCGAGUCGCCCCCUGAGCGGCAACGCGCCCCCUCCACAUCCUCACACCGUCUCCCAGCGCGCGGCCUGCGGGACUGAGUCACGGGAGUCAACGGCUGCUUUGAUUCAUAAUAGGGUUGUUUGCUGUCUUUUACCCUGGAGCCGUGUGGGACCAGUGAACUCCUCCUCAGUAAAUGAAUGUGCAGCACCAGCAACAACAGGCGACUGGAAUAAAUGACACCAGGUCAAAAAAAAAAAAAAAGAGGUCUUUAUCAAAUUUUCAGAAGUGAAACCACGGCUUGUGAACGCAUCACUGCUGUUUUAGGCAAAGACAGAACCCCGACAACAACAGACGAAAGGCUUUUAAUCCACAAUAUAAAAACUUGCAGGACCCAAGAAAUAAACUUCUACUUUGUUUUCUCUC